GAGGCAUGGCGUAAUCAAAUUACAGGGACAGACUACAGAUUUGGACCAACGCGCUUUCCGUACUAAUGGGAGUAAAGAACAAUAUGGCAGCGUCCUGGUGAUCUGUCUUAGCUAAAAUAUAGGUGCACAGAAACUGCCACUAUCUCUUAUGGACAGUUAAUUGGAGUUCAGAGUUCAACCAAUUGGAGUAUAAAAAUACUGUACUUUUAAAUAUCUAACCGAGCGUCAUGGCGUCUCAGUGUGUAUUAUUUACAGCUCGGGCUAUCUUCAUUGCACCCCAUCGGGUGACCUGUAUACAGCAUUUCCGCGCUGUUCUGCCUCUGUCCAGGCGGUAUGUGGGAAGUAUCAAAAAUCCCAGAAUCUUGAAUCCAUUGAACUGCAUAUCAUUGAAAUCUCAUGUAAGGUUACUCCCCGUUCAACCACUUCGGAGUUCCCAUUCCGCCGUGGUGAGAGAUGUGGUGCUGUUCGAGCAUGACCGAAGCCGCUUCUUCAGGCUCCUGGCUCUGUUUUGUGGAGGUCAGUUUCUGUUCUGGAGCUAUCUGGCCUAUUUUGCGUUCACAGGACUUCGAGACACGAGAAAGAGCAGCAAAGAGCCUCAAAAUGUCAGGACGGAAAUGGGACUUUUUAGCUUUGAUAUAAACCUUGGAUCCAAUACCUGGAGAUAUGGAUUCACUCUCGGCUGUCUUAUUAUAGGAGGAGGAAUUGUUGGACUGGGCAUGUUGUUCAGCCGUCGCUCUGUGAGCCGUGUGGUCCUGCAUAAGGGAGGUGGAAAGGUGACCGUGUGUACCCAGUCACCCCUAGGAGUGAGCAAUGCCUGGCAUCUAACUGUACCUUUGAAUCAAGUGGCUUGUCACGCACACAGGCAGGAAUCACCCUCCUUCAUCCCUCUCAAAGUAAAAAAUCAUAAGUUCUAUUUCCUUUUGGACAAGGAAGGGAACCUGACCAAUCCGAAACUGUUUGAUGUCACUGUUGGUGCCUACAGACCAUUAUAGUGUCCUGCCACCUGCAUGGUUAAAAACUAUAUAGAUGUUUUACUUCUGAUGAAAGUUUCUUAUAGACUUUUUCAUUUGAACCUUUGUACACACAUGUGGCAAGUAAUAAAAGCUUAAAUAGCAAUAACAUGAUUUUGAUGUAUUACUCAUUUACAUUACAUCAGUGUCCUGACUCACAAAUUCAAAUAGCAACAUGUCGAUUUUUUUCUAAUGAUAAAUAGAGGUUUGAGGAGGAGAAAAUAAAUGUUUCAUUAAUCAAGAUGGUGAACUGAUUUAUUUUACACUUACUGAUAAUUGUAUAUGUGGACUUAGUAUGAUGUAAAUGUAUUACAUUUCAAGUAAUCACUUUUCAUUUAUUAUAAAAGCAAGUAAACUAGAGAGGAAGUUGUCUGUUAUAAAUAGAUGCAGAUGGCACAUUUGUAUUUAUUAAAUAAUACACAUUCUGUACUCUUUUGGUGCUUAGUAAAGCACUAAGCCUUGAGUGAUUCAUAUAGAGCAGACUGUUUUUUUCCCACUUGUUAUUCACAUGAAAUGUUCACUGCCCAAGGAGAUUUAAAUGAUAAUCAAGAUGUGGAGAAGGCUGUGUAAGCAGGUUGUAUUACUAAUACUACAGGGAAGAAGGUGCUUUCAUGAAAAUCAUAAAAUGAAUGACUAAUUCACAUUUGUUACCAAACAGGUCAAAUAUGCAGGAUUAGUACAAAAACAAGUGUAACACCACAUAAUAACCAUUUGGACAUCAGCGAGAAAGUCUAAACUACUUGGACACAAGACAGGGCCUGAUCAACUCCGAAUGGUUCACCUGGACAAGGGUGUCUGAUUCUGAAAGCCCAGAAACAAUUGAUGACCCCAGGUUACAUCAGUGAUUAUGAUGAUGUCCAUGUGCAUCACGAGAUGUAAUAUAAAACCAUAAUCAUGUAGAUUCCUGACCAGCAUUUUUACUUUGUAGCUCUGGUCAAGUAAUACAGAGGCAGAACAUUUCUUUCACCUGCAUCCUGAAAGAUGACAAAUUACCAUUUAAAAAAAAAAAAAAAAAACUUGUGGGUGACAUUAAGUUGAUCAGCUCAGUAGUGGACAGGAGUGACUAAACUGGUGCAGAAAUAUUACACACAGUUUUGAAAACUGAAUCAGGUGGCCUGAAGCUAAAUCUAAUUUUUAUUGUCGCUGAUAUGAGUCACAACUUCUGACAAAGACAACAAAGCAGAGGCUGAAUGCCACUUGAGGCAUGGAGGAACAGAAAGAGAACAGGGUGGCUGUGGACAUCAGGAGCGCGUGGAGUCGUUUGAAUUCACCCUGUGGCGCGAGGGAUUUCAGUUCAGGAGUUGAUGAGAUGAAAAUGUGCGAUUUUAGAGGGGGAAAACCCGGACGAUCUAAAUGAUUGGGUUUGACGGUCAUGAUAAUCCUGGAGAACAUUUGGAGAGAUGUAUCAAAGCCACGGGAGUGCAGCUUUCACUUACGGACUUUUUACAGACAUGGCAGCACGACUGGAGCUGAACACCACCACCCAAAUGCACAAG